rnacentral:rRNA from 1 species
GACGAACGCUGGCGGCGUGCUUAACACAUGCAAGUCGAACGGAAAGGCCCUGCUUUUGUGGGGUGCUCGAGUGGCGAAAGGGUGAGUAACACGUGUGUAACCUGCCCUUGACUUUGGGAUCACUUCAGGAAACUGGGGCUAAUACCGGAAAGGAGCUCCUGCUGCAUGGUGGGGGUUGGAAAGUUUCGGCGGUUGGGGAUGGACUCGCGGCUUAUCAGCUUGUUGGUGGGGUAGUGGCUUACCAAGGCUUUGACGGGUAGCCGGCCUGAGAGGGUGACCGGCCACAUUGGGACUGAGAUACGGCCCAGACUCCGACGGGAGGCAGCAGUGGGGAAUAGUGCACAAUGGGCGGAAGCCUGAUGCAGCAACGCCGCGUGCGGGAUGACGGCCUUCGGUUUGUAAACCGCUUUCGCCUGUGACGAAGCGUGAGUGACGGUAAUGGGUAAAGAAGCACCGGCUAACUACGUG